rnacentral:rRNA from 1 species
CUCACUCCUUUCAACUUUGUUGCUGGAUGUGGACUUGGACUCUGUCGUGUUAUAACGACUGGUCUGAAAUGCCUGAGUGCACCCUGCUGUUGCAGCGUCUUCAGUGUGAUAAGCAUCUUCACUGAUUCAAGUUCCUUUGGGACACGCAAGCAUGGUGGGCUCUAUGCUUCCAACCGUCUUUGGACAAGCUUUGACAAUUUGACCUCAAAUCGGGUGGGACUACCCGCUGAACUUAAGCAUAUCAAUAAGCGGAGGAAAAGAAACUAACAAGGAUUCCCCUAGUAACGGCGAGUGAAGAGGGAAAAGCUCAAAUUUUGAAUCUGGUGUCUUUGACGUCCGAGUUGUAAUCUAGAGAAGUGUUUUCUGCCUUGGACCGCGCAUAAAUUCCCUGGAAUGGGGUGUCAUAGAGGGUGAGAAUCCCGUUUGUGGUGCGGACUCCCUUGGCUUUGUGAUACACUCUCAACGAGUCGAGUUGUUUGGGAAUGCAGCUCAAAAUGGGUGGUAAAUUCCAUCUAAAGCUAAAUAUUGGCGAGAGACCGAUAGCGAACAAGUACCGUGAGGGAAAGAUGAAAAGCACUUUGGAAAGAGAGUGAAACAGUACGUGAAAUUGUUGAAAGGGAAGCGUUUGAAGUCAGUCGCGUCUCUCGGAACUCAGCCUUGCUUCUGCUCGGUGUACUUUCCGAUCGACGGGUCAGCAUCAAUUUUGAUCAAGGGAGAAAGGUUUGGGGAAUGUGGCUGUCUUCGGGCAGUGUUAUAGCCCCUCGCUGUAUGCCUUGAUUGGGAUUGAGGAUCGCAGCACGCCUUUUGGCCGGGGUUCGCGCCCUCGGUACGUGCUAGGAU